rnacentral:rRNA from 1 species
AAACCAGCACCUCAAGUGGUCAGGAUGAUUAUUGGGCCUAAAGCAUCCGUAGCCUGCUUUAUCAGUUUUCGGUUAAAUCCACACGCUCAACGUAUGGGCUGCCGGGAAUACUGCAAAGCUAGGGAGUGGGAGAGGUAGACGGUACUCGGGAGGAAGGGGUAAAAUCCUUUGAUCUCUCGAUGACCACCUGUGGCGAAGGCGGUCUACCAGAACACGUCCGACGGUCAGGGAUGAAAGCUGGGGGAGCAAACCGGAUUAGAAACCCCGGUAGUCC